CUCCUGGGUUCAAGCUAUUCUCCCUCAGCCUCCUGAGUAGCUGGGAUUCCAGGCGCCCACCACCAUGCCUGGCUAAUUUUUGUACUUUUAGUAAGACGGGGUUUUGCGAUGUUGGCCAGGCUGGUCUUGAACUCCUGACCUCAGGGGAUCCACCUGCCUCAGCCUCCCAAAGUGCUGGGAUUACAGGCAUGAGCCACCGCGCGUGGCCCAAAUACUCUUUUUCAAUUCAAAUUCUUUUUUUUUUUUUCUCCCUCUCUCAUUAGGUCCUGGGGGAGAUAAUUUAAAACCACCUACAUGAGAGGGCCUUCAGGAAUAAUUAAAUCAAGCACACACUGUGUGCACCUUUGGCUAUUUUAACCAAAUCUUGAGAGCAUCCUCUCUGACUGGGAAACACACUGCAGCCUACUCAUGAGAAUAUUAUUGUUUAAAUUUCAAUGCUACAGCAAUACUAUCUGGUAAGAUAAUUGUCUCCAGUGGGAUGAAAUAAGGCCAAGAAACCAAAGCUCUCCAGCCUCUUCUAAGUUUGCUUCUGAUGCCUGCCUCUCAUCCUCGCUUCUUCCAGCAGACCCCAAGCUGCCUCCAGCCUCCACUGUGCCAAUAUUCUUAGAGCAGUCUGGUUUGCUGGCAUGUUUUUGCCUCAGUAUUCCAUUUCUCACACCCUCUGAUGGCCAUUUUAUUUUAUUUUUAAGAGGGGAACUAAGAUAGGUGGCCUGAAGUACAGUAGUAACUUCCUUGAAUCACGCUGUCCUGGCUAAUGUCAAUGAGAUAACUAAGGCACAUCCACAGAUCACAUUCUGGGCCUUUAAAAGCACUGCAUACAAACUCAGUAUUUCGUUUAGACAGUUUUCUUAUCUUCUUCAACUGGACCUCUUUGCUGACUCAUGUCAGCUUUGAGCUCAUAUUAGUCUGUGAACUUUACCUGGCUGAAAUUCAGUUUGGCCUGACUUUGCCAUUCUUGAUUCCACUUUUGAUUCAGACUAAAAUAUAAGGUAAGGCUAUGUUCAAUACAAGAACCUUACAAUCUGAUGAACAUGGACUUACUCAAGGAAGAGAUUUAUCUGCCUCAUGUGAGAAGAAGUCUGGGUUGAAGUAGAUUAGGGCUGGAACAGUAGUUCAAGGAUGCUAUCUGGGAACUGAGCAUUUUUUCUUCCUGCUCUACUGCCCUGAGGAUGACUGAUGUACCUCCAGCAUCAAGCUCAAAUUCUAGUCAAGAAGAAAGAAGCAGCAGAAGAAGCCCAGCCAACUUGGGAUUGUUUCAUUCAUCAGAUCUACCAUUGUCUCUGCUAGCUGCAAAAAAGUCUGGGAAGGAAGAAGCAAAGAAGUCUAAGUUCUUUGGAGUAAGAUGCUCUCAAAUGCCUAGGAACACUGAUCUCCUAACUUGUCUUCCUGCUUUGAGUGUCCCUCUGAGGUUAAAGUUCCUGCCUCAGUCUCCAACAAUGAAACAAGAAGAGCACCAGUGAUCUAAGGGACAAUUUCAAGAAGCCAAAUAUAAGUGCAAUUAGAUUCCCCAAUGGAGAAGAGCAAGGAGGGGAAUAAAAAAUAUAUAUUUAAAGAAAUGAAAGUGGAAUUUUUUCAAGUUCAUAAAAACUAUAAAACCUUAGAUUCAAGGCUACCAACGAACCCCAAGCAUAAGAAACAAAGAAAAUUUCAAGGAACAUCAUAACAAAAUUGCUCAAAACCAGAGAUAAAGAGAAGUUUUACAGUUAGCCAGAGGAAAAAAGACACAUUAAGAACAGAGAAACAAAAAUGAAGAUGAUAUCACAUUUCUCUUCGGAAGCAAUAUAAAUGAGAAGUUAUUGUAGCAACAUCUUGAAACUACUGACAGUACAAAACAAAACAAACUCCCAACAUGUCUGUACUUAGCAGGAAUGUCUUUUUUAAAUGAAGGCAAAUAAGACUUUUUCAGACAUACAAAGUCUGAAAGAAUUAAUCUCCAGCAGCCCUGCACUACAAGAAAUGUUAAAGAAAGUCCUGUAAGCAGAAAGAAAAUGAUACAAGAUGGAUCUAUGCAAAGGAAUAAAGAGCAUUAAAAAUGGUUAAUACAUGGGGAUGCAAGGUGCCCAGACUGUGCAAAGCAAUGGCAGCUGCAUGGAGUCCAGAGAGAGCACCUGGAGGCCUGGAAGGCUUCCAAAAGAAAGUGAUACUUCCAAACAAAAGGAACAGGAAGUUGUUGUCUUGUCUGUCUGCCGUUCAAGAGGACUGAAUACGUUCCAUUAAAUUCGCCUGCAAACUUUUCCUGAAGAGCCCAGCAAGCAGCGAUGAAAAUUACAGAGUGGCUCCCAGGCACUUUAGUGGGUAAUCAGCUGAAAUUGAGCUGUUUUCCAUAUUCUUUGCUGAUAAUGCAAAAGGAACCUUUAAAACAAACAGCUCCAAGUCACCACACAUCCUACAAGCUGAAAGGGCCCAUGUGGUCCACACAGAUGCUCCAGCCACACACCAAGCCCUGCUGCAGAGUAAUUGGUUCCCACAGCUAUCAGAGCUAUUACAGCAAAUCAUUGUACAGAUGCUGUACUCUGCAGAGGCGCCAGCACUCUAAUUAUCCUGUGGAAGGAUAAUCAAUGCCAGCUGCCAGCUAAAGGAAUGCAAAAUCUCCACUGAGUAACCAAGAGCCCCUGCUGAGACUGACUGGAAGUGAGUUCAAGGAAAUCUUUUUAAUGUUAAAAAUAAGUUUAGGCCGCGUACAGUGGCUCAUGCCUGUAAUCCUAGCACUUUGGGAGGCCGAGGCAGGCAGAUCACCUGAGGUCGGGAGUUCAAGACCAGCCUGAUCAACAUGGAGAAACCCCGUCUCUACUAAAAAC
rnacentral:lncRNA from 1 species